rnacentral:lncRNA from 1 species
UCAAUAAAUAUUAUGUUUGCUUUCAAGUUCUUAUACUUCAUGUUUAUGUAGCUAAUCUUUAAAUAACUUAUAUAUUCGUAGGGAUAGAUCGUGAUCGAAAGAUACAGUCUGUGCUCAAGUGAAAUAAGUUAUCUUGAGGAUUUACUUAUAGAUUUCUUUAUUUUCUUUUUAAGAUCUUUUAUGAUUCAAGUUUGAAUAACUUAUACUUUAGGGAGAU